CUUUAUUAAUAUUUGAACCCAGUGUGAAUUUCUGAGCCAUUAUGAAAUACUAAGUUUCAAACUGACUUAGUUUUCCAUCAUGAACAAUUCCAACACCAUUUUCAAGUGACUUAGAACCAAUAGCAAGAGCUGCUUCUUGUUAGAAAUCCUUUGAUUGCCCCUGUGUCCAAGCCUGGGUGUCAUUUUAUUCCCUUCCAUGGAUCUGAAAGUGUCUUGCCACACAAUUGCUAUUCAUUCUGCAACGGGAUAAAAAGUGCCUUGAGUACCUCUGUUCCUUAUGAGCAAAGAGCGCGUUAUGAUCUACUUGGAUGAAAAACAUUAUAAAAUGUAAUGUUACCAUUACUACAUUCCAUAUAAAUACACUUCUAAGCCUGGUUAUAAAUCUUCCAUUCCUCUGGCUGUAGCUAACAUUUAAGAGACAUAUUUGUAGUGUUUUCCAUUCAGGUUUCCUUUAACAGCACCAAGGGGUUUCAUAAGAUUAAGUGGAAAAUAAUUAUAACAUCACCAAUAUUUUAAAAAUCUUGUUACACUUUUUCUUUUCUUUGGGUAAGUGAUUUACGGAACAAUAAUUAAAUGUCAGGAAAUGAAUCACAGAUGAGAUACCGACAUUUGAUAGUGUUUUGUAAACAGACUAAAUGAGUCCAGAGAGAGGUAGAAACUAUUGAUGUUUCCAUAAAAAAAUCUCCACAGAGCCUCUGAAAGGAGAAUAUGUUAUUGAAUGUAAAUACAGGAACCUGAUCAAGGAGGACUGUAAUCUAUUAGGGAAAGGAAGUGCUUUUGAUUCCUGCUAAUUUAAAAGUGAAGCUCGGGAGACCAAUUCCCACCAGCUGUCAUCACUUAUAAAAUGAGAGAGUUACCCCUUUUUUCUCCUUGUUUUUGCUCCCUACAAAUUUUAAGAAUUGAGCAGUUGAGAGGUUUGAAGACUUCCACUCCUCCACAGCGAUCUACGUGAAAACCAACAUGUCCCAGUCCAGUGUCAACAGGAUGACAGAUCUGCAGGCUAUACCUAAAUAUCCUGAUUAUCCAUUUGAAAAAAACAACAACAACAAACAAAGAGCCACCUCAGCCAAACAGUAGCAUAGCAUCAGAAUUCCUGUGUGAUGUUUUUUCUCAGUGUAAAUCCACUGGUUUUCUGCCUUAAAGAUGCAUUUCAAUAUCCAUCAGUUCUCUGAAGUCAAGAAUGGAGGAGUUUAGAAGCUGGAUUUUUGAUUCACUCCCAUCCAUAGCAACUAACAAGCUUGACAAUACGCGGCAAUUUCUUCUUAAAACUUCACAUUUAAUAUUCUUCACUUAAAGCCCUCUUCUGUUUGUCUAGUGCAAGCUGAGACAGGUAAAGCAAAUUAAUUAAAUCUUCUUUCAUUGACAGUAUGAUGAAAUCUUAAUGCUAUUGUUUGAAUGCUGAUGCAUCCUCUUAUCUCUUUGUUCAGAAUCUGAUGCAG
rnacentral:lncRNA from 1 species